UUUCCGUAGGUGAACCUGCGGAAGGAUCAUUACCGAACCGUCAAACACGGGUUGUUGCUGGCCCCCCGAACGGGGCGUGUGCACGCUCUGUUUACGCAUCCACUCACACCUGUGCACCCUCUGUAGUUCUGUGGUUCGGAAGACCCCGUCUUCCUUCCGUAGCUCUACGUCUUUACACACACGCCGUAGCGACGUCUCAUGGAAUGUUUUUAUGCGUUUAACGCGAUACAAUACAACUUUCAGCAACGGAUCUCUUGGCUCUC
rnacentral:misc_RNA from 1 species